AUUUCCCUCCACACAUUUCCCUCUUAAGUAUUUUUGGCUCCAAUAAUUUCCUUCCACGUAUUUUCGGGGUUAGCUCCAAAAACUUGUUACCGCUUAAGUGUUACGACAUAAAAAAAAAGAAGAAGACCAAACUCUCGAAACUCACAGUCUUCUUCUCUAUCUCGCCUCUGUCAUGUUAUCUGGUACUUUCUUCAUGGCUCACACCGGACAAACCUAUAAUCGUCGUCGUCCAUGGCCACCGAAGUUGAAUCUCCCGGACGUCUCUGCACCGUUUCUCUAAGCAAGAAGAAGCCUCCCAGUUAUCUCGGAAAAGAUGCUCACAAGUACACACCCUAAGCAAGGUGCUUUAUAUUCAGUUAAAAGAAGGUUCGAGCUUCAGAAAAUAGUGGCUGCUUUCCUCCACCUUAAAGCUCGAUGAGCAUCUUCUCAGUCGCCUUGUAUCACCUUUAACCGGUACCAUAGUUCCAAGGAUUAUACUUGUCUUUGCUGCCCUUGCGAUCGUGAACCUCUGUCAAUGCUCUCUAUAGAAGACUCUCUGGACUAAAUAAAAUAAAGGAGUCAGGUUCUAGGGAGCUAUGCUUCUUGAGUUCGAAGCAAAGAAAGAAGUCAGGUUUUUCUGAGCGACUCAGGACAAGCUGUUCCACAGCUAUAUCACUGGCAUAUAAGGCAUCCAGAGAGUCACAGACAAGUCCAAUACUUUUUCAUCAGGGUUCUCCAUACCAGUCAUGACACGCAUCCUUGACUUCACAGAAUCAGAAGGCUAAUUGUGGUUUUGUCUCUCUUCUCUUUUUGCAGACAAACUAACACAGAAGAUCAUUGAAGCAGUUGAGACUUUGUUUGUUUUAGUUAAACUGCUUGAGACUUUGUUUGUUUUAGUUAAACACCGUAUCCUUGUUUGUUUGUUUUGUCUCUCUUCUGCUUUGUUUGUCUCUCUUAUAUAUAUAUCUUCCCAUCUAAUUUUAAAUAUAUAUAUAUUUACAUAUAAAUAUAAAUUCUAAUAAAUUUGAGACUUUGUUUGUUUUA